UACAGAGGGUGCAAGCGUUGCUCGGAAUUAUUGGGCGUAAAGGGUUGAUAGGUGGUCUCAUUUGUCUGAGGUGAAAGCCUUGAACUUAACUCAAGAAGUGCCUUAGAAACGGUGAGACUAGAGUUCUGGAGAGGGUCGUGGAAUUCCCGGUGUAGCGGUGAAGUGCGUAGAGAUCGGGAGGAACACCAGAGACGAAAGCAACGACCUGGACAGAUACUGACACUCAACUACGAAAGCGUAAAGAGCAAACAGG
rnacentral:rRNA from 1 species